rnacentral:lncRNA from 1 species
UAAACUCUACUUUGGGAGACUCACUUGUUCAUACAGAGAACGACUAGGGUUGGUUCUCUAUAUUAUUAACUAGGGAUAAUUAGGUUGUGGGUCAUUCGUUAAGUGAGGAUUUCAACGACCAGUAAUUCGAUUCGAAUUGCUACAGAUCAUCCGCUUUUGCAAAGGAGAAACCCGUAAAUCUCCUUUGCUUAGCAUUAUUACAUAUCCAAACACAUACUAAAAAGCAAAUGUGGAAGUCGAAUUUAAAAAAGAAAUUUAAGGUGAGACAAGAGUUAGAUUCAUUAUUAACUUGUACUAUAUUAUAGCUAAAGACAUAUGGGUUGCUCUGAUGGUAAGCACCCCCACUUCCAACCGAGAGGUU